rnacentral:tRNA from 1 species
GGGGUUGUGGCUCAGUGGUAGAGCUCUUGCCUAGCAAGUGUGAGGCCCUGGGUUCAAUCCUCAGCACCG